CUGCUAUAGUGCAGAGAACUAUAUCUAGUCACUUGUGAUGGAAUAUGAUGGAGGAUAAUGUGAGAAAAAGAACGUACAUACAUACAUACAUAUGUGUAUAUAUAUAUAUGUCUGACUGAGUCACUUUGCUGUUUGGUAGAAAUUGAUGGAACACUCUAAACCAACCAUAAUGGAAAAAAUAAAAAUCAUAUAAACUUAAAGAAAAUAAAGUCAGUCUAGAAGAUCAAAAACAAAACAAAAAAAAAAAAAAAAAAAGGGCACUAAUCCAAGAGUUCCUGCUAUGGUGCAGUGGGUUAAAAAUCCAAUUGCAGUGGCUCAGGUUGCUGAGGAGGUGAGGGUUUAAUCCCUGGUCCAGUGUGGUAGGUUAUGGGAUCCAUCUCAGAUUCAGUCCCUGAUCAGGAAACUUUCAUAUGCUGUGGGUGCAGCCUUUAAAAAAAAAAAAGACACUGAUCUCAUUUAUUUAAUCCUAAUUAUCUCCCAAAGACCUCACCUCCUAAUCCCAUCCCAUGGGGAAAGGGGAAGUUUUCAAUAUACAAAUUUGGGGAAACAAUACUCAGUUCCUAUCAGUUGUGUAUGCUGAGUUCCUGGUUUUCUAAUGAGGCCUCAAAUCUGAGGGCAAUGGAUCAUACAUGCCAACACAGUUUCUCCACAGGAUAUUCUAAAAGGUGGGCAAAAUCACCACUGCAACCCUUAGCCUAUAUGUUCUACCUCUGUCCUACAUGGAAAGAUAAGAAAUUCAAGAGGGAUUGAAAGAGAAGAAAGGAUAAUGGCAGACUUAAUAGAAAUAAAGAAUACUGUGGUGUUUUUCUUCCCUUACCACAAUGGAUAUAUAUUUGAAGAAAGCCAAAAUUUUAAAACAUACAUGCACCCAAAUGCUCAUUUCAGCAUUAUUUGUAACAGCCAAGACAUGGAAGCAACCUAAUGUCCAUCAACAGAAGAAUGGAUAAAGAAGAUGGGGUACAUAUAUACAAUGGGAUACUAUUCAGCCUCAGAAAAUGAAUGAAAUAAUACCAUUGGCAGCAACAUGGUUGGACCUAGAGAUUAUCAUACUGAGUGAAGUAUGUCAGACAGAGAAGGACAAAUAUAUAAUAUCAUCUAUGUGUGGAAUCUAAUACAAAUGAUCCAAAAGAACUUUUUUAUAAAACAGAAACAGGAGUUCCCGUCGUGGCGCAGUGGUUAACGAAUCCGACUAGGAAUCAUGAGGUUGCGGGUUCGGUCCCUGCCCUUGCUCAGUGGGUUAAGGGUCUGGCAUUGCCCUGAGCUGUGGUGUAGGUUGCAGACGUGGCUCGGAUCCUGAGUUGCUGUGGCUCUGGCGUAGGCCGGUGGCUACAGCUCCGACUGGACCACUAGCCUGGGAACCUCAGUAUGCCACGGGAGCAGCCCAAGAAAUAGCAAAAAGAAAGAAAAAAAAAUAACAGAAACAAACUUGCAUAUUUUAAAAGCAAUCUUAUGAUUACCAUGGGUGAAACCUUUGCAGGGACGGAGGAAUUGGGAGAGUGGGGAAAACAUAUAUACAUUGCAUAAAAUAGAUGAUUAACAAGAACCUACUGUAUAGCACAGGAAAAUCUACUCAAUAGUUUGUAAUAAUCUGUAUGGGAAAAAAGAAUUAAGAUAUUUAUAUGUAUAACUGAUUCACUUUGCUGUACCACUGAAACAGAUAUAACAUUGUAAGUCAACUAUACUCCAAUAAAAAAAAAUCGUUUAGGAAUGAGUUUUCUUGUCUUAAAAAAAUAAGAACAGAAAAGAUCCCUUUCUCAAUGACCUAUGUUGAGGAUUAAAUAAACUGGUACAUGUAAAGCGUUUAGAACAGUGCUUGACAUAUCAGAAGACUUAGUAGUGUUGGCUAUUAUUAUCAUUAUCUGCCAAGUGUGAUAUAGAAGGUGUGAACAAAGCCUUAGAACUAUUCCUGGAAGAGAAGGCAUGACCUCAGAGAGGCUGGAUUAGACACUGCUAAGGUCUCUUCUAGGUCCUGAGAUUUCAUGGCUGUUUCUCAAGGUCACAGUGCAGAUAUAGGCACUGUCAGAAAUAGUGCCAGUUUCCAAUGUGCACUUAACCACCUGCCCAGGCUUUUUCCCUUCUCUAAGUCUAUAGAUUGCAUAAAGCAACCUCCUCAGUAUGGUCAUAAAUGAAAUACUGCAUCAGCUAUUUAGAAGUACUAAAAAGCAUAUAUUAAGGAUGAAAGUAUUGAUGAUACUUACUGGCACUUGAACCCAAGGCAGUAAGGCAUUUUAUAAAUCAGCCAGCAUCCCCUAUAAUCCUGGAUCUAAAUUGUUAGUUCUUGGGCUAUAUAUCACAGAUGUCUUUUUGUCAUCUAUGCUUUUCUCCUUAGAGGGUUAUUUAUUAUUUUUAUCAAUAUUAAUGUGGUUGCCAUUAUUUUUAUAGAUGAAGUAUACAUGUCUAUCCUUAUCUGGCUUAAACAAAUUUCUCUUGGAUCAAUGAGAAGCAUGCUGUUGGGUUUGCUUUCUUUUUCUCUACAAAAUGUUCAAAUGCUUAUUGCUAAGGGUUUUUUAAAAUCAAGUAUCACUAAGUAGUUUAAGUUUUAAUUUGAGUUUAUAGUUUGACUAAGAGUAAUAUCUAACCAGUGAACAAUAGGAAUUGUCCUUUUGCAAGAGAGAAACAGGCUAAAUAACCUAACUAAAAUGCCAGAGUAACCCCUCACUGUCCCCACUGCCUCCUGCCCCCUGUAAGAAGCUGCUGUGUUCUGAAGUCUUGUUUUUCCCCUGUGAUUUUGCCAUGUAUAAAUCUGGCAAGAAAACAUAGAUAGUAUCUCUUCUCCAUGCAAUGGUUUGCUUUAUUAAGUAAUAGUGAUAUUUUUUAUAAAUAUUAAAGGCUGGAAGGAAGCUCAGAAAAUGCUGAGGGAAAAAUCCUGCCUUUAAUAAAUAAGAAUAUGUGAAAAUUCAACUUGGUAACUUAGUUUGUCUAGCUGUUAAAAAUUUUCUCUGUUGCUAAGGUUGCUGAAUGGUGGGUAUAAAAAUGAGCUUAAAGCAAGUUCUUAGGACAAGUUUUUGCCCAACAGCAGUCACAGUGUUUAUAAGUGGCAACCCUGUCCAUAUGGAAGAGAGAAAAACUAGAAGUGAAAAUUACAUCAUCCCUUCUACAUUAGACAAGUUAAUUAGUUGGCCCAUAAUCACAGACUCUGCUCCAAAUGAAAAGAACAGCUUUUCUUCUUUUGAAUCAGCAAGGCACAGAAGGUGCAAUACCUGGGUAAUUUAUUAACAGUUAGAAUGUUUUGAAAGAAGAAUUUCUGAAUUUAGAUUAUCCUAAACAUCCACUUGAAACAUCUAAUGCGGUGGUGAGAUCUUUGCAGUUUCCCAUAACAAAUUUAAAAUGUGAGUAUUCCUUUUGUGCCUGCCAGAAGCAAUCUAAUGCAUUUGGAAGCUUUAUGAGGUUUCUUUUUUUUGUUUCUUGUUGUUUGAAGAUAUUAGAACACAAGAGUACUGAAUAAGCUAUGGAACCUUAUAAUUGAAAGAAGAGUUAUAUUGUCAGAUCCAAAGUCAUUCUCAAAAUAAAAAUAGGAAAUUCUAGAUCUGUUUCUGACUGUAAUAUGUCACCCAUGCCCACUCCACAUCUAGAACAAGUUAAGGACUUUACGUAUACAGUAGUAUCUAAGCCUACAGAAGUUUCCAUCACAAGAAAAAGAGUGGCUUGAAGGUCACAGAAACACACCCUCCAGUAGCUGGAAAGAUGAUUCUGGCUGAUUAGGGAGUCAGGAAUCUAGAAGGUUGAAAUGUACAAAGGGAAGAGACAUGCUUUGUUUGGAAAUUAGCCUGAUGGCUGUUUUUCUGUGCCUAAGCAAGAUUGGCUGAAUUUUUCUUUCCUCUUUUCUGUUCCCAAAUAAAAGAGGAAGAAAAAUCAGAAAGGUGUGCAUUUGGUCCCUGACAAGAGAGUGGAUUAGCACAGUCUAUUGCUUGCUCCCCCAAAUCUAUCUGGUGAAACUACAGAGGCAGAGAAAAGCCUGAAUCUGGAAAUGGUAUAAAAGCUCAGAAACCCCUGAGAGAUACAGGCAUCAGUGGAGGUUCAAGGGCAGCCUGACUGAGCUGUGGGAAGAAAGUUUAAGAGAGAGGUUUUCAGUUCCUCUCAGCCUUACUGGUCUGUACCUUGGGACUGUUUUUGUCUCAUCUGCACAGAAAUCUUCAGCAACGGCUUGGACCUAGCUGUGUCAAGGGUGUAAUAUUAGGGUCUGCAAAAUCUCUGCUUUGGGUGAGAUACUAAUGGAACAGAUGUCAGCUGCCAGAGAUCUUACUUUCUGCCCUAGUUCUUUUUCAGUGUUUGGGCUAUGAGAUUUUACCAACUUGAAAAAUGAUUUAGAAGAUUUGCCUGGUGGAGCAACAGCAAAAAGAAGUGAUUGAGAGAGAUUCUUUAGUAUAUUGAGGUCCCCUUAGUCUCACCAUUUCUCUUUUGUUUACAUCAGGAGGAAUAUAAUUUAGACCCUCCUGUAAUUCUUAUUAUCAGACAGUAUCAUGAAUUCACAGGGAAAACAACAACAGUAACAACAACAUGUAGAUAUUGGGAAGAAUAACCUAUAAAACAAAGAUGACAGGAGUUCCUGCUAUGGCACAGUUGGUUAAGAGUAUGACUGGGUCACUGUACAGAAGAAGUUGACAGAACAAUGUCAAUUAACUAUAAUAGAAAAAAUAAAAGCCUAAAAAAAAGAAUCUGAAUGCGGUGGCUUGGGUUACUGAGGAGGUGUGAGUUUGAUCCCCAGCCCAGGG
rnacentral:lncRNA from 1 species